ensembl:lncRNA
CAGCAACUGGCUGAGGAAAGUAGGAUAUUCCACAUGAGUUCCAAGAAACUAUAACUGAAUUUAACUCAUUUAAACAGAAAAUGAAUAUCUAAAAUGUUGUGGGUAUAUGUUUUGUGGGCAAGUUGCAUCCAAGAGUCCAAAAAGCUAGGAACUGUGUUGCUCCAGAAGUCUAUCUCCAGAUCCAGAUUCUAAUAUAAAACUGUCUAGCUGCGUCUUGAGUCACUGAGCUCCACCUAAUGGCAAAAGCUCAUUGGGGGAAAGGAUAGAGCUGUUUGUUUUUUAUUUAUUUUUAAAAAGUUACAUUUGUACGCCGGGUGUGGUGGCAUGUGCCAAUCCCAGCACUCAGGGAGCAGAGACAGGUAAAUCCCUGAAUUUGAGGUCAGCCUGAUCUCUAGAGUGAGUUCCAGGACAGCCAGGGCUACACAGAGAACCUUGUCUUUAAAAAAAAAAAAAAAAAAAGUUACAUUUGUGUUUUUCUCCCUCCUCCCCCUGUGUGUGUGUGUGUGUGUGUGUGUGUGUGUGUUUCAUAUGGCGGGGUCAGAGGAGGACUUGGUAGAGUCAGUUCUCAAUUAUUGUGUGAGAUCCAAUCUGAAAACAGAACUUGGAUCCUCCUAGAUAUGGAGAGCUACUGGUUCUUUCUGUACAAAGUUGUAUUCGAGAAGUGGGUGUCUGGACCCAUGGCAGCACUGCCACAUAAGAUAGCAGGGUUUCAUAGCAACUGUCAGACUGUUCAGUGCUGGGCUGUCUUUAGGAGACAGGCUCGGAGGUACAUUCUGUGCGUUUGUAAACAGAAUUCACAUUAUGUGUCCUGGAGAAUGCUGACCAAUAUCUAACCUAAUCUUAGAAAGCCUAAGGGUUAAAGUGUGGAGAGAGAUGCCUCUUGUAUCCUGGCAGGCCGUCCCACUAUUUAAUGUGGCACCUGUCUGCCUGUGUUCUCUGUUUUGGGUUUGAGACUUCCAAUAAACCAAAUGACUAGAUGUAUACAUCUUCCUUCUUCACAGGGCCAGGUGAUUUAUCUUGCUCUAGCCUGUCAGCUCCUGAUAACUUAUGAGGUCUGAAGAGAAUUAAACUACAUUUCAUUAAAAAACAAAAACAAAAACCAGUUGUUUGCUUCAGGGUCAUUACAAAUCCAGACUGCUUUCCCGUUUCCAGCAUAUCCCAUUACCAGAAAGAUUUCCUCUUCUUCCUCUUUAGAGGAUGAAGUCAGCCACUCAUUUUUUCCCCCAGUUUCUAAAUAAUGAGGCAGGUUUUCUAGGACAAAGGACCUGGUUGUUAGGACAUGUUUUCCACUCCCUGAUAAAAGGAGAAGGCUGAAUUUCUCCAUGUGCAGUAUUAUUAUGUGAGAGCAGUAGAAAUAAAAUUGAAG